AUUGAACGCUGGCGGCAGGCCUAACACAUGCAAGUCGAACGAGUGGCGGACGGGUGAGUAAUGUAUGGGAAACUGCCUGAUGGAGGGGGAUAACUACUGGAAACGGUAGCUAAUACCGCAUACCAUCGGAUGUGCCCAGAUGGGAUUAGCUAGUAGGUGGGGUAAAGGCUCACCUAGGCGACGAUCCCUAGCUGGUCUGAGAGGUUGACCCGCCACACUGGAACUGAGACACGGUCCAGACUCCUACGGGAGGCAGCAGUGGGGAAUAUUUGACAAUGGGCGCAAGCCUGAUGCAGCCAAGCCGCGUGUAUGAAGAAGGCCUUCGGGUUGUAAAGUGCUUUCAGCGGGGAAGCGUUACCCGCAAAAAAAGCACCGGCUAACUCCGUGCCAGCAGGCGGGGUAAUAC
rnacentral:rRNA from 1 species